UUGGGGAAUCUUACACAAUGGGCGCAAGCCUGAUCUAGCCAUGCCGCGUGAGUGAUGAAGGCCCUAGGGUCGUAAAGCUCUUUCACCAGGGAUGAUAAUGACAGUACCUGGUAAAGAAACCCCGGCUAACUCCGUGCCAGCAGCCGCGGUAAUAUAAUA
rnacentral:rRNA from 1 species